rnacentral:rRNA from 1 species
GGGAAUCUGCCCUUCGGUUGGGAAUAACUGAGAGAAAUUUUAGCUAAUACCUUAUAAUGUCUUCGGACCAAAGAUUUAUCGCCGAGGGAUGAGCCCGCGUAGGAUUAGCUAGUUGGUGGGGUAAUGGCCUACCAAGGCGACGAUCCUUAGCUGGUCUGAGAGGAUGAUCAGCCACACUGGGACUGAGACACGGCCCAGACUCCUACGGGAGGCAGCAGUGGGGAAUAUUGGACAAUGGGCGAAAGCCUGAUCCAGCAAUGCCGCGUGAGUGAUGAAGGCCUUAGGGUUGUAAAGCUCUUUUACCCGGGAUGAUAAUGACAGUACCGGGAGAAUAAGCUCCGGCUAACUCCGUGCCAGCAGCCGCGGUAAUACGGAGGGAGCUAGCGUUGUUCGGAAUUACUGGGCGUAAAGCGCGCGUAGGCGGUUUCUCAAGUCAGAGGUGAAAGCCCGGGGCUCAACCCCGGAACUGCCUUUGAAACUAGGAGACUAGAAUCUUGGAGAGGUCAGUGGAAUUCCGAGU